GCGCUCGCUUCAGCAGCACAUAUACUAUAAAUUGAGAACGAUACAGAGAAGAUUAGCAUGGUCCCUGCGCAAGGAUGACACGCAAAUUCGUGAAGCGUUCCAUAACUUU
rnacentral:snRNA from 1 species